AACUGAGUUAGAUUUGUUUGCAUAG
rnacentral:piRNA from 1 species